GGAAACUUUACACCCUGUUUGGCAUGCUGGAAUUCAAAAUGCACAAUUCAUUUGUAAAAUGAAUUCCUAAAAUUCAUUUGAUAAAUUUUCAUGUUUGAUAGUAAUAUGCUAAAACUUGAAACAUGUAUUUAAAUUGAACUCCACAAAAGCAUAUUUGGAAUAAAUGCAAAAAAGAAGAUUCAUUUACGUUUAUUUCCUAAAAUAUCCUCGACAUACUAAUCUUAUAAAAUAAAUAAUAAUUUCAUAAUUAUAUUUAUUUUACUU
rnacentral:misc_RNA from 1 species